GUGAAUCAUCAAAUCUUUGAACGCAAAUUGCACUCCCUGGUAUUCCGGGGAGUAUGCCUGUUUGAGGGUCGUUAGAAUAAAAAAUCGAGGCGUUGUUCUUUUUUUCAAGGGUGAUCGCGUCGGAAGGGAGCAGCUUUAAAAAAGUUAAUUCAUGCAAAUGGGGUUUAAAAUUCACCAAUCCGGUACGAUUAAAGCGUAUUUAAGAUCAAUUUUGAUUAAGAACGCGCGAUGACGUACCAUCGCAUGUAGAACGUUUGAC
rnacentral:misc_RNA from 1 species